rnacentral:rRNA from 1 species
ACGGAAGGCAGCAGUGGGGAAUAUUGGACAAUGGGGGAAACCCUGAUCCAGCGACGCCGCGUGAGUGAAGAAGUAUUUCGGUAUGUAAAGCUCUAUCAGCAAGGAAGAAAAUGACGGUACUUGACUAAGAAGCUCCGGCUAAAUACGUGCCAGCAGCCGCGGUAAUACGUAUGGAGCAAGCGUUAUCCGGAUUUACUGGGUGUAAAGGGAGCGUAGGCGGUCAGACAAGUCAGAUGUGAAAGCCCGGGGCUUAACUCCGGGACUGCAUUUGAAACUGUAUGACUAGAGUACUGGAGAGGCAAGCGGAAUUCCUAGUGUAGCGGUGAAAUGCGUAGAUAUUAGGAAGAACACCGGUGGCGAAGGCGGCUUGCUGGACAGAGACUGACGCUGAGGCUCGAAAGCGUGGGGAGCAAACAGGAUUAGAUACCCUGGUA